GAUGAACGCUGGCGGCGUGCCUAAUACAUGCAAGUCGAACGGAGAACUUUCGUAGCAAUACGAAGGUUUCUUAGUGGCGAACGGGUGAGUAACGCGUUGGUGACCUGCCCCAAAGUGUGGGAUAACAGUCCGAAAGGAUUGCUAAUACCGCAUGUGGCCAUCGGGUUUAGAAACCGAUGUCUAAAGCCGCAAGGCGCUUUGGGAGGGACCUGCGUCCCAUCAGCUAGUUGGCGAGGUAACGGCUCACCAAGGCUACGACGGGUAGGGGGCCUGAGAGGGUGGCCCCCCACAAUGGAACUGAAACACGGUCCAUACACCUACGGGUGGCAGCAGUAGGGAAUAUUGCACAAUGGGCGAAAGCCUGAUGCAGCAACGCCGCGUGAGCGAUGAAGGCCUUCGGGUCGUAAAGCUCUUUUCUGGGAGAUGAGAAAGGACAGUACCCCAGGAAUAAGUCUCGGCUAACUACGUGCCAGCAGCCGCCGUAAGAC
rnacentral:rRNA from 1 species